rnacentral:rRNA from 1 species
UACGUAGGGGGCAAGCGUUGUCCGGAAUCAUUGGGCGUAAAGAGCGUGUAGGCGGCCCGGUAAGUCCGCUGUGAAAGUCCAGGGCUCAACCCUGGGAUGCCGGUGGAUACUGUCGGGCUCGAGUCCGGAAGAGGAGUGUGGAAUUCCUGGUGUAGCGGUGAAAUGCGCAGAUAUCAGGAGGAACACCGGUGGCGAAGGCGGGUCUCUGGGCAGUAACUGACGCUGAGGAGCGAAAGCGUGGGGAGCGAACCGG